rnacentral:tRNA from 1 species
AAAGAAAUAUUCUUAAAAAAAGCUUCUAACUUUUUAAAAAGCAUGAAUAUGUUUAU